ACAAGGAUAGCUAUCUUGACCAUUGAUUAUUUUUGAUCCUAUGGCUAACAAUCACAGAUCUCACAUCUCUAUCUCUUCCUUCUCUCUUUCUUUCACGUCAUCUUUCUCUCUUUUUUCUUGGUUUCAGAUCUAAAACCAAUCUCUUCUAAUUCUUCUUUAAUCCUUUGAAUCUCUAUCUUCUUCAAUCCUCACCACCAACACACGACCUUCCCACCGUCACCACAUGGCCUCCAUUCGUUCUCUGUCACAACAGCACCACCACCACGACAUGGCCUCCAUUCGUUCUCUGUCCCAACACCACCGCCACCACAGAUGACCUCCGUUCGUUAGCAUCACCACCACCACCACACCUCCAUGGGAUGGAGGAGGCAAGGCGAAGCACGCAUGAUGGCUGAAGGAGGCGAAGCACGCAUGAUGGCUGAAGGAGGCGAAGCAGGCAUGACGGCUGAAGGUGGUGGUGUGGCGGUGAGUAGAAGAUGAAGAAGACGAAGAAGGUGGUGGUGGUGGCGGCUGUUUCCAUUUAGUUAGUAAUUAGGUUUAAGUUUCUGGUUUAGGUUUUGGUUUAAUUGGUUUAUUUGGUUUAUUAUUGUUUCCAUGUAAACCAGUUUUUAUUUAUAAUUCAAUCUAAUUUAUAAAUUAUAAUUUUGAUA